CCAAAGACCCGCUGCGCUAUUGAAGUAAAUGGAAAACUUACUAUCAAUUUCAGUGGGUGGGGACUGGGCCCAAAUGCUAUACAGUAUAUUAUUUUGGGGGGAAAGCGUAGUUCGUUUCUCUUGCCCAUGGAUUCCCUGCCUUCUCUUUCAGACCGCUCUGCCAUUUGUCACAGUGACAGCUGCUCAGUUUGGACUGAAAUCAGACCACUUCACAAUUGUUCUUUACUCCCUUAAACAGAUUCUAGUGACUAGAUAUUGUGGAAGGCACAGCUGCAAAUCUGACCAACUGCAUGUUUCCUAAUGUCAAACCAAGUCAUCUGCGCAAGAGCUCUGAUGACUUGACUUUAAGCUACAUAAAGCAGUCCAAUCCCUCACCUAUGGAGUUUGCAAAGUCUGGAGAACUGGAGCUCUACUCGUCUCUUCUGAAAAGCUUAGCUGGUAGGUGGAAGUUAAACUAUCAUGCAGGGUUACCAGAUGAACAGGGGGGAAUUCUCAUUUCAGCUCCAGUGUAUCUUCACCUUACUGCUCAGCAUGCAGCUAAAUUAGUUGUUCUUUGCUACUGCGUGUUCUACAUUGGCUACUCUGCCUCCCUCCUUCCCCCAAAGUUAGCUCGCUUACAUUGUAAAGAAGAUUAAUAUAUCCAUUUUACAGGUGGUUAAACAGGCAGUUUAACUGACAAGCCCAAAGUCAAGAGUGAGUGGUAGAACUGGGAACAGAACCGUGGAGAUCUGAGCCCAAAUCUCCAGGUCUAAUCAGUACGCGUACACUGCCUGCUAUUAUGCAGUCGAAGCCAGUAAGAAUCCUGUGGCAUAGUUUGGUUCAAGAAUUAAAGGGCAAAGUGAACUGAUCAGUGAAAGAGUGAAGGGACACACACAUCACACCAACAACAGAGAAUGCAGAAGCACUGUUAGCUGCAGAGAUGACAGAUUGCUGGAGACAAGGUGGAAAGCAAAAAGCUGCAGCUGCAAGUCUGCUCUCUAGUGGUCAUCCAGAAAUGGGGCAGCGCUGCUCCUAGAGUGAUAGUGGAUGCAAGCACUUGUCAAGUGUCACCUUAAUGUCAGUGUGUAAUAUCUGCAAAGAAGUUCUAUGAUUGCAGAGAGAAAAGAUGCUACCAAUUUUUAGGAUGAAAAUUCUCAAAUUCUGACUUUUCAUUCUGAAUUAUGAGAACUGAAAACCCACAAACUGAACAAAAUAUUAACAAAAACUAAAAAAAAAAAAGAGGAUGUUAGUGUGUUUUCUUCAGAUUUGUGGGUUUUACAAAUUCUAAAAUAUUGUAUUGGUGUAAUACCUGCCUUAAUUUAAUAUCUAGAAAUAAAGAGGAUGAUAAAAAGUCUUUGCCAUGAACCUCAUGGUGUAUCUGCUGAUCAGGUCUUAAUGUAACAAGCAAUAUUAUGAAUGUAAACAAACACCCAUGUGAUCAAAUAAAUAAAACAAAUUUAAAUUUAAAUGAUGCUAAUGGAAAGCAAAAGCUGUAUAUUCCAAGAAUUACCUGAUAUUUCUAUUUACAGAUAUUUUGGCUGUAAUAAUUGAAUCCUGCUUACAAAGGAACUCUGCACUUGAAAUGGUUAAUUACUGUCCCUUUGACAGAUUAAGUGUGGAGAGACACUUAAUGGACAUCAUGGGCAAUUUCCAUCAUCCUCUUGGAAUUCUAGAACAGAGUGCGGAAACCAGGAGAAUAAGGUACCUGCUGUGUGGACUGCUGACAGAGGGUCCAGGCUGUGAGACACUACAUUUGCCCCGUGGCUGUUUGCAAUGAACAGGGGGUAAAGAAAGAAGAAUGUUCAGUCCAGGCAAAUAAAGACAAGCUACUGAUGAAAUCAAAUUAAAAGUGCAGCAAAGGAAACAUAAAAUCAAAUGAAGUGACCAAUACCCAUGAACCAAGGAAACUGGCUUUUCUUCUGCUUCGAGCGGAAUAUGAAAAUGCUUUGAACAGACAAAAGGAACUUGACAGAAUGUUUUAAACAUUAAAAUUAAAAUCAUACUAGACUUGGUACCAAAAAAAGAGUGUUAAAUUUUUUUUUAGCUCAAGUAAUUUGUUACAUGAGAUAUGAAUUAAUUCAUCUUAUUGAAAGAGAUGCACUUAAGGGUGUUUAUAUUUAAUUGCAGCUAAAUUAAUGUUCUGUAGAACAUUAAAAAUUAUAUUCUAAAUGUCACCUUUAAAAAGUCUGGCUUCCCUCUUUCCACCCAUAAUUUUGAGGGCCAAAUAACUGUGGGUGCAUUACUGCACUUGCAAUUAUUUCCUAGCAUAAUUAAUGCAGCUUAGAAGGUUAACUAGCUGAAAGUCUCUGGAUGGCAGGCAAUUAUAGAUCUAGCACUGGUGAUGCGCUUGGCAUUAGAAUUCUAAGAGACAUCAAUUUUUGUUUCCAAAAUUACAGCUGCAAAAAGGGAGGCCCUCAGGAGUCUUUCAUCUUACACUGUACAUUAU